CAGGAGGUCCACGUUGCUCCUGAUAGACUUUGGUUUGAACUCUCUCUUGGGCCGGCUGCUGGCUGUGGAUAUCCUGGGGGGAGAAGACAGCAGGAAGAUCUAUGCUCUCUUACGUCGUUCUCCAGGAAGUUGAACAUGCUCCUCUCGGCCAGCUCUUUGCUCUCGUCAAACUUCUCCACAGCCUGCCGGAUCUCCUCGUCUGGGAUCUUCCCCUGACGCUUCCUCUUAUAGUCAAAGUCCAACCGCCGGCCCUCCAGCUUCUUCAGGUGGUGCUGCAAACACAGACAGGAACAUGUAUCUUCGUCCUGUGCAAUGGAUCAUUCUUCUAAUGUAUCUUUUGUAUCUAAAUUCACACAAACAUAGUGUGCUAGUAAAGUAAAGUGUC